rnacentral:rRNA from 1 species
GCCCAGACUCCUACGGGAGGCAGCAGUGAGGAAUAUUGGUCAAUGGCCGGAAGGCUGAACCAGCCAAGCCGCGUGAGGGAGGAAGGUACAGAGUAUCGUAAACCUCUUUUGUCAGGGGACAAAGACUGGGACGCGUCCCCGGAUGAGUGUACCUGAAGAAAAAGCAUCGGCUAACUCCGUGCCAGCAGCCGCGGUAAUACGGAGGAUGCGAGCGUUAUCCGGAUUUAUUGGGUUUAAAGGGUGCGUAGGCGGGCUGUUAAGUCAGCGGUCAAAUGUCGGGGCUCAACCCCGGCCUGCCGUUGAAACUGGCGGCCUCGAGUGGGCGAGAAGUAUGCGGAAUGCGUGGUGUAGCGGUGAAAUGCAUAGAUAUCACGCAGAACUCCGAUUGCGAAGGCAGCAUACCGGCGCCCUACUGACGCUGAGGCACGAAAGCGUGGGUAUCGAACAGGAUUAGAUACCCCUGUAC